UAAAAUCUUGUAUUGGUUUGUCAGUAAUGUGUUAGUUUAAUUGAUUGCAUGAUCAGAAAAAUAAAAGUUGGGUUUUGUGAAGUAGUAAUUGAAAUCCAUCUUAAAAUUUUUUAAAUUGUGAAUUAACCUCUACAGUUUACAGAGGGUUGCCAAAAUUAAAGAAAUAUAGUAAAACUUUUUUGAAGUGUUAAGAUGUUUUCAAGAGUUUUAGUGUCUGGAAUGUGUGCAACAUGCUAAAAAACUCUUCAUGAUUCAUAUGUUAGAAGAGUGUUCCUCUGUGAUCUAGUCUCAAGAUGUUUCCUUAUAUAUUUGAUUAUCAGGUUCUUAUGGCUGAUUGCAGUGGUCCAGGCUCCAGAGAUGUUAUUUCCUUAUAUCUCAUGAUGUGGUUUGCUUUGUAGCACACAAUUGAGUUCUGUGUAGUUCUUCGUCGCAGCUUCCUUGAAGGAGACUUCCCAAUAGACUUGCUUUUUUUGUGUUACCCCACAUAUAAUUCUGAGACUUUAUCUAUGGGGCAUUGACUUAAAAGGAAGACUUGUGGUGUGCAAUGUUUAUUGGAAGUCGCUUUGAAGUUUCCAGCGACGACCAAAGUAAUCCUAUCUGGAUGUUCACCGCAUUAUGUCAUAUGGGUUUGAGAUGUCAUGGUUUUGGGCUUGCUGUGACAACUAUCAGGAAAACCGCUGCAACCUAGACAUUGACAACAUUACGGAAUACUGUUACGGUACGUUUUAUUUCCAUGGACUCCAUUUCAAGUUGGGUUUGAAUGGUUAUUAUGAUUGUAAAUCAGUUCUGGUUCAAAACUGAAUUGUGACCGAGUCUAAUUAGGACUCAUUCAACCAAUAAAAAAUUGCGUUUUGGGUGAUCUUUUUUAUCCCCUAUA